rnacentral:snoRNA from 1 species
ACUCCACAGUGUUUGAGCUUGGAGUUGAGGCCACUGGCUGAUCGAUGAACUCACAAGUGUAGGUAGUGUGCUACAUGAGGGGCAAGUCUUUCACUAACACUGCAAGGGUCUCUGGCUCAAUGAGUGGAGUUUGAUAGUAAUUCUUGCUACAAGU